ensembl:lncRNA
GAUGCAGUUGUGCAGCCGUCUAGAAUCUGUAUCUCUAAAUAUCUGGUUUAUAUCUUUUAAAUGUCUUAAUGUAAUUAAAUGUAACAUUAACAGUAAAACUUGGUGUAACAGUGUAACUAAUUAACAUUAAAAGUUAAUAUUCUCAGUGCUUUCCAGGAGCCAGGAAGAGAAUGGGGAGUGAAUUGUCUGAUUGACAAGUACAGGGUUUUCUUUUGAGGUGAUGGAAACAAUUUUAUAACUUGAUAUAGGUGGUGAUUGCAUACCAUUGUAAACUUACUAAAUGACAAUGAAUUUUACACUUUAAAAUAGUUAUUUUUAUGUUGGGAGAAUUUCACAUCAAUUGGAAAAAUGCCUUACGCACAUAUAAGAAGCAGAAUUGUGUCAGGGUCUUGAAAAGGACCAAAUUACCAUACGAAUUAAGGAAAAGUCUUCCCUCUUCGGAGUGCUUUCAGGUAUAUUUAUCCAUUUGAGACUCAAAGCUUAAAAAUUCUUUGCUAUUUAAGAUAUUUUUAAUUAAUUUUUAAAAUCAAUUAAUUUACUUAGCCACAUUGGGUCUUAGUUUUGAUGGCAGGAUCUUCACUGGGUCAUGCAGGAUCUUUGAUUUAGAUGCACAGACUCUCAAGUUAGGGCAGUUGAGCUCAGUAGGUACUUCCCAUUUUAUAGGAUCUUAGUUCCCUGACUAGGGAUUGUACCCAAGUCCUGCAUUGCAAGGCAGAUUGUUAACCACUGGACUAUCAGGGAAGUCCCAAGAUAUUUUUAAUUAACUUUUUAAAAAUUUUGGCUGUACUAGUCUUCCUUGUGGUGAGCGGGGGCUUAGUUGCCCUGCAGCGUGUGUGCAUGUGUGGUCAGUUGCUCAGUCUGUCCAUCUGACUCUUUGCAACCCCUGUGUCAUUGGAAAAUGGAUUCUUAACCACUGGACCCCCAAGGAGGUCCCUCUAAUUAUGUGGUUAGAUUGUUUAAGUUUAAAAAAAAAAAGUUUUUUAAAGAUGGUAAUAUUCCUGCUUGUUUUUAUUUUGUUACUUACACUACUUUCACCCC